rnacentral:rRNA from 1 species
GGUCAUUUAGAGGAAGUAAAAGUCGUAACAAGGUUUCCGUAGGUGAACCUGCGGAAGGAUCAUUAAAAAAUAUAGAAUUAAUUUUCUAUAAACCCAAUCUGUGUAUUCGUACCUGUUGCUUCCGUGGGACAGUGAACGCUUGUCGUUCCCUCUGGCGCUGUUCUUCGGAACGGAUGCUGGGGAGUGCCCACGGGAGGUCUACAUAAACUCUGUUUUUUCUGAACUCAGUCUGAAAACUGUUUUUAAAUAAACUUUAAAACUUUCAACAACGGAUCUCUUGGUUCUCGCAUCGAUGAAGAACGCAGCGAAAUGCGAUAAGUAGUGUGAAUUGCAGAAUUCAGUGAAUCAUCGAAUCUUUGAACGCACAUUGCGCCUCCUGGUAUUCCGGGAGGCAUGCCUGUUCGAGCGUCAUUAACACCCCUCAAGCUUAGGUUUACCUAUUGCUUGGUCUUGGAGAUGGAAGCCAAUUCGUUGGAGUCCUCUUCGAAAUCCAAUGGCGAAGACCCUUGCUCUCCCAAGUGUAAUAAUAACUUAUGUCACUGAAGGAAGCGAGAAAUCUUCCGCCGAAACCCCAAAUUGUUUAUGAUUGACCUCGAAUCAGGUAGGGAUACCCGCUGAACUUAAGCAUAUCAAUAAGCGGAGGA